rnacentral:lncRNA from 1 species
UUUUUGAACAAAAAAAAAACUUUAAAUUAUUCUCCCUAGAAAAUUACCUAGUCAUAAGAUUUUUAUAGGCGAUAUUCUCUUUAUUUUGGAAAUGCCUUUAACAAUAGGGUCAACUUAUAAAUAUUUCAAGAAUGCAUAAUGACCACAAUUAUUUUUCUUAGAACAGGAAUUGUAUUAUCUCAAGUGGGGAAUAGAAUAGAAUAAAUUUGAUUCGCAUUCAACAUUUACAUUUUUUUUUUCUCUUCUUAAUCUUAGAUUAUUUCUUAAUAAAAUAUUAAACUUUUUAAUAUUUUAUCCCCCCUAAUUCAGUAGACUAAACCGGAUCCAUUCAAACGCUGAGAUAAUUCCAGAACAACAAGAAGAAGAUCUACAUAUUAUAUAUAGUUUUGACCUUAAUAAACUAUAGUGGCAACUUGGUAAAUAUUAAGAAAAGAGUGGGGGAAAAUAUAUAGGAAGGUACAAAUAUAGAAAGGCGGCGGGCGCCUGUGAUAUCAUUGAAACCGAUGAAAAGGGCGAAAACGACGGGCGGGAAUCAGAUGCGGCAUGAAUCUGGUGCUCACGGGCACAAUACGGUGACGUCAAGCCACAAUCAUCCUCCAAUAGCAUUUUUUCUAGGUUCUGGCUUUUGCUUUCACACCUCGUGCGGUUAUGCCUUAUCCGUGAUUGACACCAUUCCCAACUCUUAACGCCGUCUAUUUUAUUUUCGUUAUUCCCCGUUAUCUCUCUCCCGCACAGUUACUCCUUUUUUUUUUUUUUUGGCCCCUUUCUUAAUUGAAUAAUUAAUCACAGAGAAAUUUCUUCUACGACAUACAGAGGCCUGAUGGGAAUUUUACCCCACGGUCUUGUCACCGUUAGUUAUGAAAAAGUCAAUAAAAAUUAUUAACUCCAAGAAUUUAACUUUAAAAAAUAUUUGACCAUAUUUUUAGAGCCUUUAAAAUGUAAUUAUUUGAUGAUAUUCGAACUAUAUAGUAGAAUAUCUAAGAAUACUUUUAUGCUAUCAUAAUAUGUAUUUUUAAAGUUGAUUCGGGUUUUAAUUAACCAUUACUUAAUUGCAAGUACUUUAUUUUAUUUUAUUUUUUAUAUUCAAUUUUGAAUCUCUCAACUAUGACUUUAACUAUGAUAAACGUUUGAAUUUUUGACGGAUUUCUACUGCACUUUUUU